rnacentral:rRNA from 1 species
AACGAACGCUGGCGGCGCGUCUUAACCAUGCAAGUCGAGCGGCAGGCAGCAAUGCCGAGAGCGGCGGACUGGUGAGUAACACGUGGAUAACGUACCCCGAUGUCCGGGACAGCCUGUAGAAAUAGAGGGUAAUACCGGAUAGAUCACUGUUUACGUGAGGUAGACAGCGGGAAAGGAGCUUCGGCUCCGCGACGGGAUCGGUCUGCGGCCCAUCAGCUGGACGGCGGGGUAAAGGCCCGCCGUGGCGAGGACGGGUAUCCGGCCUGAGAGGGCGGACGGACACAUUGGGACUGAGAUACGGCCCAGACGCCUACGGGAGGCAGCAGGUAAGAAUAUUCCGCAAUGGGGGGGAACCCUGACGGAGCGACGCCGCGUGAACGAAGAAGGCCGGAAGGUUGUAAAGUUCUUUUCUGUCCGAGGAAUAAGUUUCGGAGGAAAUGCCGGGACGGUGACGGUAGGGCAGGAAUAAGCACCGGCUAAUUACGUG